GCCAGUAUGGUGUAGUGGUUUAAGCAUUAGACUAUCACUCUGGAUACCAGGGUUUGAAUCCCUGCUUGCC